GACGCCCGCUUUCUUCUUUCUUAACACAUGCGAGUCGAACGGAAAGGCCCUGCUUUUGUGGGGUGCUCGAGUGGCGAACGGGUGAGUAACACGUGAGUAACCUGCCCUUGACUUUGGGAUAACUUCAGGAAACUGGGGCUAAUACCGGAUAGGAGCUCCUGCUGCAUGGUGGGGGUUGGAAAGUUUCGGCGGUUGGGGAUGGACUCGCGGCUUAUCAGCUUGUUGGUGGGGUAGUGGCUUACCAAGGCUUUGACGGGUAGCCGGCCUGAGAGGGUGACCGGCCACAUUGGGACUGAGAUACGGCCCAGACUCCUACGGGAGGCAGCAGUGGGGAAUAUUGCACAAUGGGCGGAAGCCUGAUGCAGCAACGCCGCGUGCGGGAUGACGGCCUUCGGGUUGUAAACCGCUUUCGCCUGUGACGAAGCGUGAGUGACGGUAAUGGGUAAAGAAGCAACGGCUAACUACGUG
rnacentral:rRNA from 1 species